rnacentral:lncRNA from 1 species
AACGAGCUAUUUUCCAAAGAUGCUCCAGCCAAAUUUUCAAUAUAGCAACUGUCAGUGGUAGUGCUGAUGGUGCAGAGGGUGAGCUGAGGGAGAGCGGCCAUGCCGGCAUCCUUUACAACAUUGGGCUGCAAACUCAUGCUCUCCCUUUCUAAUCCUCAGAACCUGUGUGCAGUAUCCCCCCCUUAUUCACGGUUUCUGGUUUUGCUUUCCGCGGUUUCAGUUAGCCGUGGUCACACAGUCCAGAAGCAGAUGCUCCGCCUUCUGAUGUAUGAUUAGAAGGUCAAUAGUCACCUAACACUAGGUCACAAGGCCACAUCAUCCCCUCGCUUCAUCUCAUCAUGUAGGCGCUGUAUCAUCUCACAUCAGCACAAGAAGAAGACAGAAGCUCCGAUGUUUGUGGAGACAUGGCUGUCCUGGAUCUCGGCCUGCUCCCAGGGAACCCAGCUCAAUUCAGCCAGUAAGGCUGGAGUCGAAGGACAGAGUCAGGUGUGAGAAGGAAGUCCAGGAGGGCAGUUCGGAAUGAAGACUACGAAUGGCAAGUCUGGCCUGAAGCCCCCAUCAACGUGGUUUCCAGUGGGAGACAAGGCAAUGAGACAGAAUUCAUCACAACCACAGGCUGAAAGAGUCCAUAAUCCUCUGGACUAUGAAAAUGCUGCAGUGGAGUAUUUCAAUCUCUACCUCAGUAACACAGAAAGACCCUGGCAAACCUGUAUACUGUCCCCUCCUACUUUCGCUGGUGAAAACAUUCUGGGAGCUAUGGGAGUGGAGGCCAUCGAUCAGGGGUGACUGUUGCUUCUGUCUUUUCAGAGCAGAACUAUUUCUGCACCAUUUGCACUCCAGGAUACAAGGAGUUAGGGAAGGACCAGCUAAGAGAUGUCUUGUAGUAAAGAUGGCUGUUUUGUUAAAAAACUGUUCCUUUAUAGUCACUUCAGUGUUACUGCCAUUCUACAAAACACCAACCAAACUUUGAUGUGCCAUGCAUAAGAACCAUUUUUGUGCUCUGAAAGCAGUUAUAACAAAGACAGAAAAUAAUGAGUUUAAAAAUAAUUUUUUUUUGUUUUUUUGAGGAAGAUUAGCCCUGAGCUAACUGCUGCCAAUCCUGCUCCUUUUGCAGAGGAAGACUGGCCCUGAGCUAACAUCUGUGCCCAUCUUUCUCUACUUUCUACGUGGGAUGCCUACCACAGCAUGGCUUGAUGAGCGGUACCAUGUCCGCACCCGGGAUCCGAACCGGCGAACCCCAGGCUGCCAACGCAGAAUGUGCGAACUUAACUGCUGUGCCACCAUGCUGGCCCCUAAAAAAUAAUUUUGGAGAGUAACCUUAAGAAAGAUACAAGCAACUUAU